CUGCCUGCCCAGUGACCAAAGGUUAAACGGCCGCGGUAUCUUGACCGUGCGAAGGUAGCAUAAUCAUUUGUCUUCUAAAUAGAGACUGGAAUGAAUGGCAAGACGGGGCUUUACUGUCUCCUCCUCUCCGAUCUGAAACUCACAGUUCCGUGAAGAGGCGGAAAUUACUUCGCAAGACGAGAAGACCCUGUCGAGCUGUAGUAAAACUCCAACUGCUGUCAAUCUCUAAGCUCUACUAAUAAAGUAAAACUAGAGAGAAUAAGGAUGUGGUAGAUUGGAAUAAACUUUGAUUGGGGCAAUCACGGAGAAAAAAGAUCCUCCGAUACUUUACAGUUUAGUUAGACUUAAUGAAUAAGAAACACCGCUCUAAAAUCAUAAUUAGUGAAGGAAAGAUCCACUUAUAGUGAUCAAAGGAACAAGUUACCGCAGGGAUAACAGCGUAAUCUUUUUUGAGAGUUCACAUUGACGAAAAGGUUUGCGACCUCGAUGUUGGAUCGGGGCAUCCUAAGGGUGCAGAAGCUCUUAAGGGUUGGUCUGUUCGACCAUUAAAGCCCUACGUGA
rnacentral:rRNA from 1 species